rnacentral:rRNA from 1 species
AACGAACGCUGGCGGCAUGCCUAACACAUGCAAGUCGAACGAGACCUUCGGGUCUAGUGGCGCACGGGUGCGUAACGCGUGGGAACCUGCCUUUAGGUUCGGAAUAACUCAGAGAAAUUUGAGCUAAUACCGGAUGAUGUCUUCGGACCAAAGAUUUAUCGCCUUUAGAUGGGCCCGCGUUGGAUUAGCUAGUUGGUGGGGUAAAGGCCUACCAAGGCGACGAUCCAUAGCUGGUCUGAGAGGAUGAUCAGCCACACUGGGACUGAGACACGGCCCAGACUCCUACGGGAGGCAGCAGUGGGGAAUAUUGGACAAUGGGCGAAAGCCUGAUCCAGCAAUGCCGCGUGAGUGAUGAAGGCCCUAGGGUUGUAAAGCUCUUUUACCCGAGAUGAUAAUGACAGUAUCGGGAGAAUAAGCUCCGGCUAACUCCGU